rnacentral:rRNA from 1 species
GACGUAGGGCGCGAGCGUUUGUCCGGAUUUAUUGGGCGUAAAGAGCUCGUAGGCGGCUUGUCGCGUCGUUCGUGAAAACCUGGGGCUCAACCCCAGGCUUGCGGGCGAUACGGGCAGGCUAGAGUUCGGUAGGGGAGACUGGAAUUCCUGGUGUAGCGGUGAAAUGCGUAGAUAUCGGGAGGAACACCAGUGGCGAAGGCGACUUCCUGGCCUGUUCUUGACGCUGAGGCGCGAAAGCUAGGGGAGCAAACGGG